GAUGAAGAACGCAAUGAAAUGCGAUAAGUAAUGUGAAUUGCAGAAUUCAGUGAAUCAUCGAAUCUUUGAACGCACAUUGCGCCCGCCAGUAUUCUGGCGGGCAUGCCUGUUCGAGCGUCAUUACAACCCUCAGGCCCCCGGGCCUGGCGUUGGGGAUCGGCGGAAGCCCCCUGCGGGCACAACGCCGUCCCCCAAAUACAGUGGCGGUCCCGCCGCAGCUUCCAUUGCGUAGUAGCUAACACCUCGCAACUGGAGAGCGGCGCGGCCACGCCGUAAAACACCCAACUUCUGAAUGUUGACCUCGAAUCAGGUAGGAAUACCCGCUGAACUUAAGCAUAUCAAUAAGCGGAGGA
rnacentral:misc_RNA from 1 species